rnacentral:rRNA from 1 species
AUGAACGCUGGCGGCGUGCCUAAUACAUGCAAGUCGAGCGAACAGACGAGGAGCUUGCUCCUCUGACGUUAGCGGCGGACGGGUGAGUAACACGUGGAUAACCUACCUAUAAGACUGGGAUAACUUCGGGAAACCGGAGCUAAUACCGGAGAAUAUAUUAAACCGCAUGGUUCAAUAGUGAAAGACGGUUUUGCUGUCACCUAUAGAUGGAUCCGCGCCGUAUUAGCUUGUUGGUAAGGUAACGGCUUACCAAGGCAACGAUGCGUAGCCGACCUGAGAGGGUGAUCGGCCACACUGGAACUGAGACACGGUCCAGACUCCUACGGGAGGCAGCAGUAGGGAAUCUUCCGCAAUGGGCGAAAGCUUGACGGAGCAACGCCGCGUGAGUGAUGAAGGUCUUCGGAUCGUAAAACUCUGUUAUUAGGGAAGAACAAAUGUGUAAGUAACUAUGCACGUCUUGACGGUACCUAAUCAGAAAGCCACGGCUAACUACGUG